UCCCAUCCCGAACACGGAAGUUAAGCUCACCUGCGCCGAAAAUACUUGUCUGGAGACGGACCGGGAAGAUAGGUAACGCCGACA
rnacentral:rRNA from 1 species